AGUUGCAGGCGGCUCCUGCCGGGGCUGGCUGGGCAGGACGCGGGGUGCCCGAGGCCAGGGGGCGCCUAGCGGGGCAGGGUCCCGGGGCAGCGCCGCGGACGGGACGAGCCCCGGGGGGAGGCAGAGACAGGAGUUGCCAGCGCCUCCGAAGUUGAGGUCAGUGUGCUGGGGUGGGAGGUUGUUGCUGGCUUCUUGGAAGCAUGCAUCCGUCUGCAUUGGGUUAAUCCUCCAGAAGCUGGUGAGCCACUGACUAACGCACAUUGUGCUGUUAAAGACUCCACUGUGCGUGUGACAGCGGCUAACCUGCUUUUCGGACAUCACUGUAUACACGCCAUCAUCCUGCCCCAUGAAGAGGCAUUACUUGAUCCUGGGGACUGCACCUAGCUUCCAUCAACUUGGUAGGAGAGAGCUGUUCACAUCCCGGCAGCAGCCCCUGACAAAUUCACUGACCUGAACUAUUGUGAAAUCUUCAGAAAAGUUUGCUUGCAAUUUGUUUCUUUCCUUUAAAACUCAAGCUGAGAGGGAGCACAGUACCUUUUCUUAAAAUAAGUUCAUUGAUUGUACUAUGUUUAAUGAGUUCCCCUUGAUACAUGUGCCUUUCAGACACUGUGUGUUUUUGUUUUUUUUUUAAAUUAGCAACCUCUCAGUGGCAGAGCAUUGAAAGACUUAAUGCUUCUGGGCCAUUCUGCUACAAGGACCCAGUGAAGUGUAUACAUUAUGACGUGAACUAGGACUUCUGUGACAGGAAACGGCUAUAAAGUCUUCCUGGGAAGACCGCAAAUGCGAUAGCACAUCUUCGAAAAUGAGACCCUGCUUCCCUCCACCUCACCCAUUCCUUCCAAAAAGCUAGUGACUUGGGGUUUUGUUUAAAUCAUGUUAGUUGGAGAAACUCUUCAGCCAGCCAGUGACAUCUUGGUACCCAGUCAAUGACUAAUUGAACUCCUGCUGCCAAGGGUGUGUUAACAGAAUAAACUAUGCUUGGUAUUGCCCUGGUGAGUCAUUUUAAAGACUCUCUUAAAUCUGUUUAGAAGUAAAGCAUAAACCAGUUUCACCUUCCAGUUUUUCUUAGCACCUUUGCAGUUUCUUGUAGCUGGCUGUGUCUUAAAUGAAGGCUCUGCUCCUUUCCAAGCCAGUUUUCUCUCCUGAUUUGAUCCUGCAGUGAAGUCUUACUGAUAAAACUCAAGUGACUCCAUUCAUUUCUCUAGCAACAGAAUGUGAUGUCACAAAUGCAGAAUCAGCACUUCAUUGCUUACGUCAUGCGGAAAGCAAAGGCGAUGAGAGGGAAGUUUCAGAUAUUUGUGGUUGCAUUAAACAGCAACAGUAAAGAGGACAGAGGAAGUGACCAAGCAAAUUGUGUUUGGUAAAGUUCUUUCAGUUUUGCUCCAUUAUGGAAACUCACUAGCUACAGAGUUUGCUCUUAGGGUGAGGUGUGGGGCUGUUUUACUUCUAGAUGACUUCAUGACUCCAAGCCAGGUUAGUAGCGACCAGAUACUGCUUACUGAUAGCUGUUUAGUGGCCUCUGUGAAAUGAUUUGGUGCUCUCCAUUUCAUUCCAGCCAUCCCUUGGGGGAAACCUAGCAUUUCAUCCCAUGGGGAAAAAAAAGAGAGGUUCUUUUAGUGGCCGAAAAGGCUCAGGUUUGUUUGUACGUAAUUAGUAACACAAGAAAGUUUGAAGUCAGGUCUUUCUCAUACAGCUACAAAUCCGAUAAAGCAAGAAACUGCUUUAAAAGAGAAAGUGUAAGUCUGUACCUUCCUGAGCAGCAUAUUCUUGCUAAGCAUUUUUUCCCUCACCUCCUGAAGUGGGCAUGUUUGCUCUCCUGAGAGGAAGUCAACUCUUCUGUCCUCUGAUCACGGUAACUAAGUCCAGCUGGCUGGGUCAGAAACACAGCUGUGUCCUCUUAGCCCAAAUAACCUGGAAGGGAGGAGAGCAGCUUUGGCAGCUGCUGGUGGCUGCAUCUACACAAUAGCUGCCUGGCUCUCUUGUGAUGUUAAAAAUAGGAUCAGGGUGUUUGUGGUUCCCCUACCCCCAAAUACCCUGUCAAGAAUCUGCAAAUGCUCAUAACCUCCCUCCCAAAGUUGGCUUGCUCAGUAGAGAGGCUGAGAACUGACUGGGUCGCAGAGAAUUAACAACCUUCUCCUAGGGCAGUUAAGAGGCUGGUCAGUGGAAGGGUAGAGCAGGGGACUCUUGUAUUGUAGAUAUCUGUGAUGCAACAAGUCUGCAGACAAACAGAGGAUGUGAGUUUCUGAGGCCUUCUACUCUGAUUGCUAUUUAUAUUACCACCAGUCAGUGGCUUAGCUACACAAGUGAUUCUACUCACAGAGCUGCACUGGUGGGACACAGCAGUAGGGAAACUUGAAAACCACUAGUGUAGACCAGGCCUGGUGCUUUUGCACCUUUCUCAGUUCAAACUAGGACAAAACUUGGCUAUGGUAUGGAAGCCUCCAGGGCUGGCUGCAGGCACCAGGUGCUUGGGGAGGCAAUCUGCGGCCGUCCAUGUGCCAUUAGAGCAUUUCCACGGCAGUGGCAGGAAUUCGGCACGCUGCUCAGGAGAGCAAAAAACAGUAGAGCCAGCCCUGGAAGCCUCCACUUAAUAAGUCUGCACUGAAACUUACAGCUAUACAAUGGGACAGUUCCUUAUUUCAUGUGUGUACAUAGUCUAUAACAUGCAUUGUGCUGAAAAGGAGUCCCUUGGACUGGCCAUGGGGAGGCUUUAUAAUGUCAAAAUGUGGACUCCCUAGGCUGAUACUUGCUGGGUGUGAGAUCAUCUUUGCAGACAUGUUGAUUUCAAAUUCCUCUUAGGUGGUAGUUGCAUUUCUACCUAUGAUAUCGAAGUGUGACAAUACCAUACCUGAGAACCAUAUUUCCCCCCAAAUUUACAAUAUUCUUGUACUGGUAUCACAUCCUGUGCAGCUCCAAUAAGAUAAGUGGGGAGUGUGAAGCAAUAAACUCCCCUGCCCCCCCCCCCUGUCUAUUCCCCAUGGAGAAUGGCGUGUUGCUGUUUUUUUUUUUUUUUUUUUAAAAUGCUUCUAUGGUAAGAGUCUAGUGCUGUGAUCAGACUAACCUGUUGUCACCUACAGUUCUCAAUAAAUACUACAAUAUCA